CUGGAUGUGAUGCACAAUGCUAAUGCCUGAUCUCCUCUGAGGGUCAUUGUAUUCAUACUGUCUGAUCCAG